rnacentral:rRNA from 1 species
AGAGUUUGAUCAUGGCUCAGGACGAACGCUGGCGGCGUGCUUAACACAUGCAAGUCGAACGGUGAUCCGGGUACUUGUACCUGGUGAUCAGUGGCGAACGGGUGAGUAACACGUGAGUAACCUGCCCUCCACUCUGGGAUAACUCCGGGAAACCGGGGCUAAUACCGGAUAUGACGCCAACCCGCAUGGGUAUGGUGUGGAAAGUUUUUCGGUGGAGGAUGGACUCGCGGCCUAUCAGCUUGUUGGUGAGGUAAUGGCUCACCAAGGCGACGACGGGUAGCCGGCCUGAGAGGGCGACCGGCCACACUGGGACUGAGACACGGCCCAGACUCCUACGGGAGGCAGCAGUGGGGAAUAUUGCACAAUGGGCGAAAGCCUGAUGCAGCGACGCCGCGUGAGGGAUUAAGGCCUUCGGGUUGUAAACCUCUUUCAGCAGGGAAGAAGCGAAAGUGACGGUACCUCAGAAGAAGCNC